rnacentral:rRNA from 1 species
CGGACGGGUGAGUAACGCGUGGGUAACCUACCUAUAAGACUGGGACAACUUCGGGAAACCGGAGCUAAUACCGGAUAAUAUGUUGAACCGCAUGGUUCAAUAGUGAAAGAUGGUUUUGCUAUCACUUAUAGAUGGACCUGCGCCGUAUUAGCUAGUUGGUGAGGUAACGGCUCACCAAGGCAACGAUACGUAGCCGACCUGAGAGGGUGAUCGGCCACACUGGAACUGAGACACGGUCCAG